GGGUGCAGGCUCUGGCCAGGUGGCACUUACCUCGGGCAGCUCCUGAAAGCAACCAGCACAUCCCUCUGACAGCGUCUCCUAGGUGGGGGGACCGGAGGGUCUCUGCACCGCUGCCCCGCCCACAGGCACAGCCCCCACAGCUCUCAUUGGCUGCAGUUCCUGACCAAUGGGAGCUGCAGAGUCGAUGCUCUGGGGGAGGGCAGUCCAGGAGACCCCCUACCCCCCUCAAGAGCCACAGGGAGCAGCACAGGGACAGGGCAAGCAGAGAGCCUGCCUUAGCCCUGCAGCACUGCCAGACUUUUAGCAGUCUGAAAUCUCCCAAAUUGGCUGCAGCAACCUGCAAGAGAGAGAGCCUGAUCCAGGAGACUCCUGGCAAAACUGGGAGGGGUUGGCAACCGUAGCCCCACUGCACAGGCACACCAGGUGUGGACUGGCAGGAUCCAAUGUGGGAGACUAUCAGUUACAACACUCAAUCUGCCAAAGGAAUACGGUUCCUGUUCAGCAAAGUGUUAAAGAGAUCAUCCCACUGGCAACAAAAGGCCUGAUCCUUCGAGGUGCUUGGUGCCCUAAGUUCCCACUGACUUCAGUGAAAGUUGAGGAUACUCAUACCUGGCAGGAUUGGGCCUAAAGAGAACAAGCUCUCAACCCAGCGACUGGGUCUCACAUUGCAAGCAUGUCUAGACAAUCCAUAACCUAACAAAAUUCAGAAUGCUAAUGAUGGCUGGAGAUCAGUGACAGCAGCAGCACUUUCUGGUCUUGUAUCCUGAAACAAAAGCUUUCAUCACUGCUAAACCAUCUACAGCUGACUCUCUUUUGAUGCCUAUUAGAUUCACUUCCUAUAUUGUCUGGAAAGCACUGCUGUAUUCACUAAUAAUAUAACAAGAAUAAAAUAAAUACAAAAAUACUACAAAAAGCACAAUGACAGGCUGCCAAUAUUUUAACAAACAGCUACAAAAAUGUCCUCCCUUGGCUUGUGAUAAGACCCUUUCAUUACAGUCAAGUUUGCUUCCCGAGGAGAGGGUGGCAGGGCUGGAGAAUCUAUUCAUUUGAUUUCCCUUUAAAACAAUAAUGCUUUCUUAUAAUCAAAAGGAGGCAACACAACAUGACAAACAAGACUUUGUUCAGUGUCCUAGGCUGGAACUUUUUAGAGUUGAGUCCUGAAAAAUCUAUGAGGAGACAGGAGAUCAGAUGUCUGGCUCAGGAAGUCACAAUCCUGAAGAUCUAGAAGGUUCUCUGGAACUCCAGUCCCAAGAGCCUGCAGCAGCUCCUGAAAGAUCCUCAUCUUGCCGCUUAUAACUAUGAAACCUGACUGAAGAGGUCUACACAGAUGUAAGUGUAACCCACACACCUUCUGGGUGUGGAGUUCUGUACCAUUUAGUGGCACCAAGACCACUUAGAGAGAGAGAGUAAAUGAGUCUGUUCUACAGAUUAGCUAAGAGUCAGUGGGCUUUUAGCUCAUGCAGUAGAGGCUCAUGCGCUAAACUCCAAAUAUCCCAGGUUCAGUCCUGCCAGACGAUGACCAGAGUCUGCCAGUCUUACAUACGCAAGGUGUUGGGACAUGAAUUUGCAUGUUAAAUGUGGAGAACCUGGCUCACUUGGGUCUAAGAAAACAACACACUUUGAGUACAAUAAACAAGUUUUACAUCAUUUGAAAUUCA